rnacentral:tRNA from 1 species
AUUCAGGUGUUUUUGCAUGAAGAAUUUUGAUUUCUUCGGGUUUAGUUAAAUUCUAAAGAAUAUAA